GUCGUAACAAGGUUUCCGUAGGUGAACCUGCGGAAGGAUCAUUAUCGUGAAUCCAUACCAACCCUUGCGAACUGUUUUGUUGGUGUGUUUGUGUUGGAGUCGCGGCUCCUUGAGUCACGGCUUCACGCGGCAUGCUUGCGGAUUGGAGCUAGCCUCGGCUAGCGCCGCCGCGUCAACAACUAAACCCGUCUGUUUUGUAUUAAUUGUGUGAGGACUCGUAAUCCCUUCGGGGUGCUCGAGAAAUCUAAACAAUUUAAAACUCUUAACAGUGGAUAUCUUGGCUCUCGCAACGAUGAAGAACGCAGCGAAAUGCGAUACGUAAUGUGAAUUGCAGAAUUCAGCGAAUCAUCAAAACUUUGAACGCAUAUUGCACUCGCGCGCCUCGGCGCCGAGUAUGCCUUUUUCAGCGUCAUCGACUUGAAACUCACACUCCCUUGGGGGUGUGGUCAAUGGGCGUCACGGCUGCAAAGCCGGGUCGCUUUAAGCAUAGAGGCGACGCAGCCUCAAGCAAUUCGAUGUAGUAAGUAAGCUUUCCGAUCCGUCGGAGGCGCGCUCUCGUCGUACUUGCAGAGGCGUCAAAGCGUUUGCCGGUCUGGGAAACUAUUCGAAGCUCGACCUGAGAUAAGGUAAGGCUACCCGCCGAACUUAAGCAUAUAAUUAAGCGGAGGAAAAGAAACUAACCAGGAUUCCCCUAGUAACGGCGAGUGAAGCGGGAAGAGUUCAAGCCUAAAAUCUGCAUGGUUCCCAUGCCGAAUUGUAGUCUAUGGAUCACUGGCGCGGCAUGUGCACCGAGGGUGAAGUUCCUUGGAAUGGGAUCCCUGAGAGGGUGAGAGGCCCGUACGUACCUUGGUGCUAUGCUUCUGUCGUCUGAGAUCUCAGAGUCGGGUUGCUUGGGAGUGCAGCUCUAAGUGGGAGGUAAAUUUCUUCUAAAACUAAAUACGGGCGAGAGACCGAUAGCGAACAAGUACCGUGAGGGAAAGAUGAAAAGAACUUUGAAAAGAGAGUUAAAAGUGCUUGAAACUGUUGAGGGCUAAACGAAUCGUUAGAGCCUAUUCCGUAAGAUGUACUUGUAGGACAUUGUGGCCUAUUACCUUAUGUCUUGCGGAGGUCAAGCUGGCUUGUAACAUUAGGAAAAUCGCUUGGUUCGCCUGCCUUCGGGUUUGGGUCCUUGUUGAUACUAGUGUAACGAGUGAGGCAUCAAAGAGACGCGGUGACUGUUCCUUACGUUUAGUGGGACUACCUUCGGGCAUGUGCCUCUGAUCCACGGGCCACGAUCAACGUCGACGUUUUGGAGCUUGACAUGAUCUUGCGAUUCGACCCGUCUAGAAACACGGACCAAGGAGUCUAACAUAUAUGCGAGUGUUUGGGUGGCAAACCCUGACGCGGAAUGAAAGUGAAGGCAGCCUAGCUGCUGAGGUGUGAUCUGGUGGAAACAUCAGUGCAACAUCGACCGACCAUGAUCUUUAUGUGAAAGGUUUGAGUAAGAGCAUAUCCGUUGGGACCCGAAAGAUGGUGAACUAUGCGUGA
rnacentral:rRNA from 1 species